UGCUCCGUGGGGUUUUCCCUUCCUCCUCUGCUACCAAAUUACCCAACCCCCCCAUGACGUGGGGCUGCAGUUCCAGGAACUGCUCAGCUCCCCGAACCCCAGUUUCCAGCUCAGGAGCCAAACUGGUGCUGCUGGAAGUGCUGGUGGCACCCACAGCCCGGCUCCGGCAGCGGGACAUGGAUCAGGCACUCGGGAUUCCCAGGCUGGUCCCCUCAGCUCGGCACUCUGCACCCCAAGAAUCUCAUCCCGAAGCCGCUCCCCGCCCUUCCCACGGAGACAUUUUCCAUCCCAUGGAGGCACUCACCGGAUCCGCGGCUCCUUCCCCACAUCCUCUGGAGCGUCUGAGAUGGGGAGAGGGAACACCCAGGACUGGAAACAGGGAAUCACCUAUGGAGGAAGUAGCACUGGGAAUGCUGGAAGCAGGAGAAGAGCAGGAUUUCUGCCCCUUUGCUCCCAGGUUUAUGCCGGACCUGCUGGUGGCUUUAACCCUUCCGGUACCAUCACUGCAGCGCAAGGAAAAACCCGGCAGUGCCUGAGGGAGCUGACAUGGGAUGAGCGAUGGCCUGGCUCAGCUGAAGGAGGAAAACCACCCAAAACCAUCCCUUUUUUGUCCUCAUCGGUGGCUUUCACCCAUUUCCCAUCCAGCUCUUUUGGCUGAGACUCCAGGGAUCACAAACCUCCAAAUGAACCCAGGAACUGUGGAAUUUUGGAGGCGUCAGAGCACCACACUGGCUACAGUGGUGCCAAAUGCUUGGCUAUUGUCCCCAAAAAACUGGGAGAUGGAUGCUCCUCUCUGUCCAGUGCUUCCCACCAACAUCCCUGGAGCUCCUCCCAGCACAGCACAAGCCAGUGGGAAAUGCCUUUCCUGGAAGAAAUCACAUCACGAGCAUCCUAUGGGAAGGAGGAAGAUGAGGAUUGGGAGUACUUUCUGCUGUGGUGGGAAUACACUCAGCCUGAUCCCUUCCCACCUUUUUUUCCCCCAAUAUCGCAACAAAACAGGAAAAUGUGAAGGCAGUCAUUAGCAUCUCCCUGGAAAAUGCCAGGUUGCCAGCCCAGCUUCCAGAUCCAACUGUCCAGAAACCCCUGGAGUGGCUAUGAGCUUUAAGGAACGCCAGAAUCAUCAUCAAAAAUCCCAUUUUCCUUCUAAAAAGAAAGGGGUGGAAACCGCUCCUGCCGGAUAUUCCCAGUGGGAUGGAGCUGCUGCAGGAUGCAGAUCCCAAAAGAAUCAUGUCACACCCCUGCCUGCCUCACCUCUGGGGUUCAGCCACAUCCACCUGGGCAAUGCAACACCCCAAGGGAUCCCUCGGGAUAGCUGGAAUCCCACGGGAUCCGGCGGCUUUGCCGGGCAUGCCGGCACCUGCCUUCCCGCAGAGCGAACAAACAAGUUGCUAAGUCACAGCAAAACCAUGAAAGCAAAACCACAGAGCCCCAAAGCGCCUCUGAGUCACUCCCCGGCUGCCGCCACGGCCCCACAGCCCUCCCAAAAUUUGCCGCCACCUGCAGCUGCUGAUCCGUGCUCCAAAGGGCUGCUCCAGAGGUGCUGGGAAGUGUUUCCCAGCAGGGAAAGCCUCUCUGAGUGUGCACAGGAUGGGUGGAGGGGCCGAGGUGACGCCCAAACCAAGCUGGCAGCCCCCAGGGAUCCCUUCUUUCCCGUAACCUCACCUGGGUUUUUUAUUGCUAUAGGACGGCGCCAAGCACUCGUAGGGACGGGGAUGGAGCCGAGCCCCGGGCACGGAGCGCUCCCGGGAUUAGUCACCGGUGGCAGCAGCGCUGCUGACAUGAGUCACGGAGGUCUGGCCGCCCAGUAAACCCGGGAUUUUCGGGUUCCCGGCUCUGGGGUUGCCCUGGGGACACCUUUUUCGGUAACUGGCGCCCGGUUCUCUCAGCCGCCUGCCGGCACCUCUGCUUUGCCGUGGGACUCCGCGGCAGCUGGAAUGGCGGGAUCGGUCCCAAACAACCGCGUCCCCUUUGCGCCUGAGGUGGGAAUUGGCGAUGGAGAGCCGGGUGACAGCGGGGCCACGGCGGUGGCCCCGGUGGCGAUGCCGACAGAGGUCACUGUUGCCGAAAAGUUGCGAGCCCCAGCCAAAAAAACCAAAGGGAACUCGGUGAGGAAGGCAGCGAUGGGGCCGGGCUGGAACAGGCACUGUGGGACCCUCCCGGGAAUGAUGCAGCGGGAAAGGCAGCCGGCACCGCGAUCCCUGGGAUGGGAUGGGAUGGGAUGGGAUGGGAUGGGAUGGGAUGGGAUGGGAUGGGAUGGGAUGAGCUGGAGAAGCCGCGCUCUGCCCGCAGCCACCGCCGGACACCCCAGGGGCCGCCCAGCCGGGACUGAAGAAGGAUCACGAGGAUAAUUCCCCCCUGGAGAGGGAAAGUGCUGCCGCCGGAUGAUCCCGAGGGUGAAAGCCGGGCCGGAGCAGGAAAAGGAGGGAGCCCGGGGCUGCUGAGCGCCUGGCAGAGCCCCUCAGCUCCGGGACAGCCCACGGGACACACAGGCAGCCCCCAGGGAACCGCAGUUUGGGAUGCAUUGGGUGGCAGGUGGCGGGAGAGCGGGAGAGGCAGGAGGGGAACUCGCUGCUACCUUUCCCAGCCCAAAUCCCAAAGGAGAGCACAGAAUGAGCGGGAGAGGGCGGCACAAAAUACCCCAAAAAGGUGACUAAGCAGUGCGGGGGUAGGCAUGACGCCAGCGGAGCCCGGCCUCCGUUCCCAGCUGUGCCAUUAUCAUUGGUAUCAGGGAAUGACUGGGGUGGGAAUGUCCCGUACAGCCCAUCCCGUUCUACCCCUUGCCAUGGGCAGGGCCGCCUUCCCCUCGCCGAGGUUACUCCAAGCCCCGUCCAGCCUGUCCUGGGACACUUCCAGAGAUGGGGAAAGAAGUUACCCGGGCGCAGGACCAGGGAGAACCUCCACAUCCCACCUCCCCUUUCUCCGCCCCUGAGCAGCGCUCCCGGAGCAUCCCUAAAUUCCUCCCA